rnacentral:rRNA from 1 species
AUUGAACGCUGGCGGCAUGCCUAACACAUGCAAGUCGAACGCGAAAGUCCUUCGGGGCGAGUAGAGUGGCGGACGGGUGAGUAAUGCGUGGGAAUCUGCCCUGCAGUGGGGGACAACCCGGGGAAACUCGGGCUAAUACCGCAUACGUCCUAUGGGGGAAAGGGGGCCUUCGGGCUCUCGCUGCAGGAUGAGCCCACGUCCGAUUAGCUAGUUGGUGGGGUAAAGGCCUACCAAGGCGACGAUCGGUAGCUGGUCUGAGAGGAUGACCAGCCACACUGGGACUGAGACACGGCCCAGACUCCUACGGGAGGCAGCAGUGGGGAAUAUUGCACAAUGGGCGAAAGCCUGAUGCAGCAAUGCCGCGUGUGUGAAGAAGGCCUGCGGGUUGUAAAGCACUUUCAGUGGGGAAGAAAAGCCU